rnacentral:ncRNA from 1 species
GAAAGCCGGAUGCAUGGAAACAUGCCUGUCCGGUUUGGAUGGGGGCUAACCAAAUAUAAUAAAGGUUUUCUAUCCAUAU